rnacentral:rRNA from 1 species
CCUACGGGGGGCUGCAGUGGGGAAUAUUGCGCAAUGGGCGAAAGCCUGACGCAGCAACGCCGCGUGCGGGAUGACGGCCUUCGGGUUGUAAACCGCUUUCACCCAUGACGAAGGGUUUCUGACGGUAGUGGGAGAAGAAGCACCGGCUAACUACGUGCCAGCAGCCGCGGUGAUACGUAGGGUGCGAGCGUUGUCCGGAAUUAUUGGGCGUAAAGAGCUUGUAGGCGGUUUGUUGCGUCGGGAGUGAAAACUCAGGGCUUAACCCUGAGCCGGCUCUCGAUACGGGCAGACUUGAGGAAGGUAGGGGAGAACGGAAUUCCUGGUGGAGCGGUGGAAUGCGCAGAUAUCAGGAGGAACACCAGUGGCGAAGGCGGUUCUCUGGACCUUAUCUGACGCUGAGAAGCGAAAGCGUGGGGAGCAAACAGGCUUAGAUACCCUGGUAGUC